CAGCAGGACGGUGGCCAUGGAAGUCCGAAUCUGCUAAGGACGGUGUAGCAACUCACCUGCCCAAUCAACUAGCCCUGAAAA
rnacentral:rRNA from 1 species